UAUGGCUCUUUUAAUGGGGCGCUGCCAGUGCAUGAGUACUGACAUGCACGAUUCUCUCUCUCUUCCUGAAAAUACACACCCUCUCUUCUCUCUCUACCAAAACAACAUGCCCUCUCUCUCUCCUGGUUUUCUUUCUCCCAACCACUCUCUUUCUACACAGUGGAACUCACUCUCUCUCUACGCAGUGGUCCUCCCUCUUUAUCUGUGCAGAAAAACCCAACUUUGUCUCUCGACGCAGUGGAACUCCCUCUCUCUCUAUGCGGUGGGCCUCCCUCUCUUUGUGGAGCAGAAAAAUCCAACUUUUUCUCUCUCUACGUGGUGGAACUCCCUCUCUCUCUCUAGGUGGUGGUCCUCCCUCUCUCUGUGUAGAAGAAAAACCCUACUUUCUCUCUCUAUGUUGUGGAACUCCCUCUCUCUGUGUGCAGCCAUUGAAGCGCCAUCUCUAAAGGAUUGAUAUUUGAUGAAUCGACUCUCUGCAAAUUUUCUUCGACAAGGUUAUCUGGAACUUCGUCGACCCUCCUUUUCUUCUAAGUGUGACAUCUAUGGGCUCAACGCCUAACUUGAUUGUUGAUCGUCUAGAAAUGUGGGUUUUUGUCUUCGGUAUGAGACUCAAAAAUCAUUUGGGCUACAAGUUCUCUCUUAAAAUUGAAAAAGUUAGCAAUAGAUUUAUCGGCUACAUGGGUAUCAUAAGUUCUCUAUUGAACAUGCAUAAAAGAUUUGAUUUGAUGCUUGCAAUCUUUCUCCCAUUGGCAACUUCGACAAUCUUGUUGUCCUGUGAUUCCAAUUUCACAAUGUUUGAUGUCAUCUUUGAUUUCCACUUUGUUUUAAAGUGAAAAUUUUUGAUUUUUUUAGCUCAUAAAAUAUUCCUACCUUUUUUUGUUUUUUUUUUCUUAUAUACUUUUCAUUCAUUAACAUAAUGUAGAAACAUAUUGAUGUUCAUUUGUACGCAUAUAUCUAACACACAUUUAUCUUAUCGUGUUAACCGUUGGAAUGAAACUGGAUGUGGCUAUCUAAAGUGGUGUGAUGAAAUUCUAGAUAAAGAUAAAGAGUUGACUCAGCAGCUGGAUUAAUAUUUCGAGUGUUGGAAAGGUACAAUAAUAGCAUUCCACUUGAAGCAUAUGACUUCCUAUAUACUGUUUCUAAUGAUUAAGAGAGAACAAAACAUUUACCCCAAAUACCUCACAAAUCAAAGGCGCCAACAGCUUAUGUGUUUCCAUCUACUCUAAAUUGGGGCAUGUACUCAAGCAAGUGCAUCUUGUAAGUUCUUGCAAGCAACCUUUCCAAUACAAUUCGUAAUAUCGAGAGCAGUAAUGGCAAGAUAAUAAGCUCGCCUAGUAAGCAUUAAUACAUUCCGGAACCCAUAAAAGAUACAUUUGAAUAGGAUAACUAAUAAUUUGCGCUCUAGGUGAGAAUGAGCUUGUAGUCAAGCACAUACACUUUUCUUGACCUUGCCCCUUCACUAUCAAAAUAAGGUUUCAAUUUUACUUGUGAUAGCAAUAGAAUAUGAUUUCAGAACUACUUUUUGAAACUGUUUAUUUUCAAAAAAACGUUCUGCAACAGACUACUUGAACGAUCACAGAAAUAUCAAAUGCAGUGCGGUCAUUACGUACAAGUGAGAUUAAUUUCUUGCAUUUUUUAAUGUUUUUUCAACAAUCAAAUAUCAUGGCCAAUGUCAUCAAGAAGACAAGCUCUUGCUGCAGAUCAAGACAGAUUUGCAUAAUUGCAACAAACCGUCACCAAGUUUACACAAAAACCAUACUCUCUGUAAUCAACAGACAAGCUUGUACAAUGGCAUACAGCCUGCAUCUUUUUAUUUUGAGUGGAUUGCAUACAACCUGCAUCAAUAAUGCCAAUAGUUUAACAACAAACUUUUCAAAAAAAAAAAAAAA